rnacentral:rRNA from 1 species
AACGAACGCUGGCGGCAUGCCUAACACAUGCAAGUCGAACGAGACCUUCGGGUCUAGUGGCGCACGGGUGCGUAACGCGUGGGAACCUGCCCUUAGGUUCGGAAUAACUCCCCGAAAGGGGUGCUAAUACCGGAUAAUGUCUUCGGACCAAAGAUUUAUCGCCUUUGGAUGGGCCCGCGUUGGAUUAGCUAGUUGGUAGGGUAAAAGCCUACCAAGGCUACGAUCCAUAGCUGGUCUGAGAGGAUGAUCAGCCACACUGGGACUGAGACACGGCCCAGACUCCUACGGGAGGCAGCAGUGGGGAAUAUUGGACAAUGGGCGAAAGACUGAUCCAGCAAUGCCGCGUGAGUGAUGAAGGCCUGAGGGUUGUAAAGCUCUGUUACCCGGGAUGAUAAUGACAGUACCGGGAGAAUAAGCUCCGGCUAACUCCGUG